UUUGCCAUUGCUCAAUCAGGGGGAGCGUUCCAUUAUUUCACUAAAUGCGAAGGGUACAAGUCAUGUGUAAUUCAAACCAGCUCUGGCACAGGAGAAUAUCUGUCUUUGUUGGACUUGGUCAACUAGCACACAUAACAGAUUUACCCCUCUGUUAUCUGAUUUUGACCGAGGGUUUCCGAUGGUUAGUGUGCACUCGUGGUCAAUUGACGAACUCCUCAGUGGACUGUGAAAUGGAGGCUACAUAGAAGUUAAACAGUAAUUUAGAGCAAAUAUUCUCAUUCAUGAAAAUGCAGCCGAGGACCUACAUUUCAAAGCGCAGUAUGCCAGAUCAGGUAGUAUUAAACUGUGUGGACGGUCGAGACAACAUCUCUCGGAGGGAUUGCCUUGUUUAUUGGAUCUGAGGCUUUGGUCGACACAGUUUCCCAGGUUCCCCCAGAGACGUUCUAUUGUCAUGCUCAGGAAGCUUUCAGAACCUCAAGUCACUCUGAAUGGGUGAGAAGGGUACAGUACAGCACAGAAGGGAUUGGUUCCCCUGAGAGAGUUCCAUUCUGCUGGAAGGACAUGAGAGCCAUUCUACUUCGGGACUGUGGGAUCACACUAUUGGGGAUGAUGGAGGCAAGCUACAAGGUCUUGGUACUUAAAAAUUWAAGAAACAACCAUUCAGCUUUUAAAAUGUACAUGUUGACAUCAGUAGCCUAUAUUAUUUUGAAACUGUAAAAAAUCACCUUACCUUGACAGAAGUAACUCAGAU